rnacentral:rRNA from 1 species
UUCCCAAACCGGUAACAAGGAAGCAGCUUGCUGCUUCGCUGACGAGUGGCGGACGGGUGAGUAAUGUCUGGGAAACUGCCUGAUGGAGGGGGAUAACUACUGGAAACGGUGGCUAAUACCGCAUAACGUCGCAAGACCAAAGAGGGGGACCUUCGGGCCUCUUGCCAUCAGAUGUGCCCAGAUGGGAUUAGCUUGUUGGUGAGGUAACGGCUCACCAAGGCGACGAUCCCUAGCUGGUCUGAGAGGAUGACCAGCCACACUGGAACUGAGACACGGUCCAGACUCCUACGGGAGGCAGCAGUGGGGAAUAUUGCACAAUGGGCGCAAGCCUGAUGCAGCCAUGCCGCGUGUAUGAAGAAGGCCUUCGGGUUGUAAAGUACUUUCAGCGGGGAGGAAGGUGUUGUGGUUAAUAACCGCAGCAAUUGACGUUACCCGCAGAAGAAGCACCGGCUAACUCCGUGCCAGCAGCCGCGGUAAUACGGAGGGUGCAAGCGUUAAUCGGAAUUACUGGGCGUAAAGCGCACGCAGGCGGUCUGUCAAGUCGGAUGUGAAAUCCCCGGGCUCACCUGGGAACUGCAUUCGAAACUGGCAGGCUUGAGUCUUGUAGAGGGGGGUAAAUUCCAGGUGUAGCGGUGAAAUGCGUAGAGAUCUGGAGGAAUACCGGUGGCGAAGGGCCCCCUGGACAAGACUGACGCUCAGGUGCGAAAGCGUGUGA